rnacentral:sRNA from 1 species
AACGCCUGUCUCCGGAUCUCUCUCAUCCCCUGGAGAAGAUCUGACCCGGGCGGUGGCUCCUCCCCAAGCUGCCGUCCCCUAGCCCCGCCGGCCUCCCCCUUGGUCUGCGGGGCUUUUU